rnacentral:rRNA from 1 species
CCUACGGGUGGCAGCAGUGAGGAAUAUUGGUCAAUGGACGAGAGUCUGAACCAGCCAAGUAGCGUGAAGGAUGACUGCCCUAUGGGUUGUAAACUUCUUUUAUAUGGGAAUAAAACGUUCCACGUGUGGGAUUUUGUAUGUACCAUAUGAAUAAGGAUCGGCUAACUCCAUGCCAGCAGCCGCGGUAAUACGGAGGAUCCGAGCGUUAUCCGGAUUUAUUGGGUUUAAAGGGAGCGUAGGUGGAUUGUUAAGUCAGUUGUGAAAGUUUGCGGCUCAACCGUAAAAUUGCAGUUGAAACUGGCAGUCUUGAGUACAGUAGAGGUGGGCGGAAUUCGUGGUGUAGCGGUGAAAUGCUUAGAUAUCACGAAGAACUCCGAUUGCGAAGGCAGUUCACUGGACUGCAACUGACACUGAGGCUCGAAAGUGUGGGUAUCAAACAGGAUUAGAUACCCCAGUAGUC